AGUCAAUCUAACCUAUAGACGGGGAUAACCUCGGGAAACUGAGAAUAAUACCCGAUAGAUCAUUAUGCCUGGAAUGGUUUAUGGUUGAAAUGAUUUUUCGCUAUAGGAUGGGACUGCGGUCUAUCAGCUUGUUGGUGAGGUAAUGGCCCACCAAGGCUAUAACAGAUACGGGCUCUGAGAGGAGAAGCCCGGAGAUGGGUACUGAGACACGGACCCAGGCCCUAUGGGGCGCAGCAGGCGAGAAAACUUUGCAAUGUGCGAAAGCACGACAAGGUUAAUCCGAGUGUUUCCUGCUAAAGGAAUCUUUUGUCAGUCCUAAAAACACUGAUGAAUAAGGGGUGGGCAAGUUCUGGUGUCAGCCGCCGCGGUAAAACCAGCACCUCAAGUGGUCAGGAGGAUUAUUGGGCCUAAAGCAUCCGUAGCCGGCUCUGUAAGUUUUCGGUUAAAUCCAUAUGCUCAACGUAUGGGCUGCCGGGAAUACUGCAAAGCUAGGGAGUGGGAGAGGUAGACGGUACUCGGUAGGAAGGGGUAAAAUCCUUUGAUCUAUUGAUGACCACCUGUGGCGAAGGCGGUCUACUAGAACACGUCCGACGGUGAGGGAUGAGAGCUGGGGGAGCAAACCGGAUUAGAUACCCGGGUAGUCCCAGCUGUAAACAAUGCAAACUCAGUGAUGCACUGGCUUGUGGCCAGUGCAGUGCC
rnacentral:rRNA from 1 species